rnacentral:rRNA from 1 species
AGUGAACGCUGGCUGUAGGCCUAACUCAUGCAAGUCGAACGGCAGCACAUUAUGAGCUUGUUCUUACGGCUGGCUUGUGGCGGAUGGGUGAGGUAUACACCGAAUUCUACUUUUUCGUGGGAGAUAAGGUAGGCAAACUUACGCUAAUACCGCAUACUACCUAUGGGUGAAACCAAGGUAUCUUCUGAUUUUGUGCCAUUGAAUGAGCCGAUGUCGUAUUAGCUAGUCGUCUGGGUAAAUGCACACCAAGUCGACUAUCCGUAGCUGGUCUGAGAGGAUGAACAGCCAGAAUGGAAAUGAGACACGGUCUAGACUACUACGGGAGGCAGCAGCUGGGAAUAUUGGACAAUGGGCGCAAGCCUGAUCCAGGCAUAACGCGUGGGUGAAGAAGGACUUCGGGUUGUAAAGCCGUCUUGAUGGGAAAGAAAAGAAGCAGGUUAAUAACUCGCUGUUCUGACGGUACCCAAAGAAUAAGCACCGGCUAACUUCGUG